CCUACGGGAGGCAGCAGUGAGGAAUAUUGGUCCAUGGACGGAAGUCUGAACCAGCCAUGCCGCGUGCAGGAUGACGGCUCUAUGAGUUGUAAACUGCUUUUGUACGAGAAUAAUAGUUCUUACGUGUAGGGCUUUGAAUGUAUCGUACGAAUAAGGAUCGGCUAACUCCGUGCCAGCAGCCGCGGUAAUACGGAGGAUUCGAGCGUUAUCCGGAUUUAUUGGGUUUAAAGGGUGCGUAGGCUGUUAGAUAAGUUAGCGGGUAAAUGUCGGGGGCUAACCCCUUGCCUGCCGUUGAUACUGGUGGACUAGAGAGCGGAUGCAGCAGGCGGAAUGAGUAGUGUAGCGGUGAAAUGCUUAGAUAUUACGCAGAACACCGAUUGCGAAGGCAGCUUGC
rnacentral:rRNA from 1 species